rnacentral:rRNA from 1 species
UACGUAGGGAGCAAGCGUUGUUCGGAAUUACUGGGCGUAAAGCGCGCGUAGGCGGACCUGCAAGUCGGGGGUGAAAGCCCGAGGCUCAACCUCGGAACUGCCUUCGAUACUGCGGGUCUCGAGUCCGGGAGAGGUGAGUGGAAUUCCUAGUGUAGAGGUGAAAUUCGUAGAUAUUAGGAGGAACACCGAUGGCGAAGGCAGGUCUCUGGGCCACUACUGACGCUGAGAAGCGAAAGCGUGGGGAGCGAACAGG